rnacentral:rRNA from 1 species
CCUACGGGUGGCAGCAGUGAGGAAUAUUGGUCAAUGGCCGGGAGACUGAACCAGCCAAGCCGCGUGAAGGACGAAGGUACCAAGCAUUGUAAACUUCUUUUGUCAGGGGACAAAAUCAGGCUCGAGAGCCUGACCGAGGGUACUUGAAGAAAAAGCAUCGGCUAACUCCGUGCCAGCAGCCGCGGUAAUACGGAGGAUGCGAGCGUUAUCCGGAUUUAUUGGGUUUAAAGGGUGCGUAGGCGGACUGUUAAGUCAGCGGUAAAAGCCCGGGGCUCAACCCCGGCGAGCCGUUGAAACUGGCUGUCUUGAGAUGGCGAGAGGUAUGCGGAAUGCGCAGUGUAGCGGUGAAAUGCGUAGAUAUCGCGCAGAACUCCGAUUGCGAAGGCAGCAUGCCGGCGGCGAGCUGACGCUGAGGCACGAAAGCGUGGGUAUCGAACAGGAUUAGAUACCCCAGUAGUC